UUUAAGUUCAUUGAAAAGAAGAAUGAAUAUGCUAAACUAUAGAUUGGAGAUUUUUGUGCAAAACUGAUUUACGUUUGUUCUGAAUCAAAAAAUCCAAUUAAAAAGUUUCAUAUCAUAUCAGUAAUUUAUCUUUAUACGCCUUCCAACUUUUGAGGUGGUCUCCCAUGGGUCACUUAUCAUGAAUCUGACUCAAAAUUUAGUAUAGUUUCAAGAUAUAUAUGGCUCAUCUUGGGGGGGGAAGGGGAGGAGUUGCUUCUCUAAUCUUCCGGUCAUCACAUCGCAUGCUUUGGUAUACUUAGUAUGUAUAACAAACAUGAAGAUGUGACACAAGGUGCCAAGAGCGCACUAAAAUCCUGUCAAUCCUAUUUCUCAUUGGAUUGUCUGCUCUAAAUAUAUCACCAGGGGAUCAUUCAUAAAUGAUGUUGGAUAUUGACAAUAGGGAAGAGCGUCACGUAACGAGAUAAAAAAACUAAAAAUGAAUUUUAGACGUAUCAGCGGAUCAGGGAUAAAAAAACGUACAACAUUGUUUAUGAAUGGCCCCCAAACAAAGAAUAUUCCAUAACGAAUAUCACGUAACAUCGGUGACAGAGCAUUGGGAUCAAGGCCAAGUCCCCCCUGGGUCGUGCAAAACUGAGAAGCAACAUCAAUUUAGGCACAGAUAGCAGACUUCCAUUUAUUUUCAUUAUGUUUUGUUUUGUCUUUUCAUUUGUUUCUCCUGCUACGAUGUGUGCGGGAGAGCGGGACGGCCAAGGAAACGGAAAGCCAGUGGCCCAAACAGAUCAGGAACAGGAGGGAGGACUGCGAACAGGGAAACCGACAACAGAGGAGAAAUCGUUUAUUUAUUUAUUAUAGCUACGAUACUAAUCACAAUUGUUUUGCUUUUCUUGUUUCGUUUCAGCAAACCAAAAUCUAUACGGAAUAGCACAUACGAACAGUUAGGCUUUGUAGGUUCUCAUCUUGAGAAAUGACAAUGACACUGUACGAGGUGGCGCUGGGCCUGUGGCCUUCGACUGGCAUGGUCCAUUCUCAUUGAUUCGGAAGUCUUCUUGGCUGGUUGGUAGAUAUGUGCUCCUACUUACAAGUUGAUCAAUUCGCUUGGGUAGGGGACAUGUGGAUCCUACUAGUUGUCGACUCUUUUGAUCGUGAGUAUGAGGCUAGUUCAGGAAAGGAGUGCAGGACUGGCACCUAAGAGAUAGUUAAUUAUUCAGUAUUUGUUCUUAUGAUUAUUAAACUCGACCAAGCACACCGGCUCUCACAAAUGAUGAGCAACCCUUUCGGGUCGGUGUGGUCUAUUCGAGUCGAACUAGGCGGACAUUAGGUUUGAGCAAACUUUAUGUGGAUAAAUAUUGCUUACGCCUUUAUUGGCAGAGAUUCUUUUGCGAAAUCCUAAAAUACCUUCACUGGUAUAGCUACUCAGGAUAAUAAUAAUAGAAAAAUUAAGGGUUUGCCUGGUCCAUAAUGUAAUGAAUAUGUAUAUUGACUAGAACAGGGAUAAUCGAGUUAUGUUAUAAGAUAGAGAAGAAACAGCACAGUCGAAGGAAAAGUAUUCGCGUUUACCGUUUCAAUUAAUAGUCGAUUGCUCUGCUUCGGACCUAGCAGACAAAAAGGAGAUUAGGAAGAGACAGAAGCGGAUUCAAUGCGAAAUUUGCCAAUAUGACGUUGACCCCAAGGCGAUGGUAGGAUGAUUUUCCAUAGGAUGACAGACUAGAUGACACGACGUUACACGCUCUGAACUUGCGCCAAAUAGUUUGUAUUCGAUUGAUCCGCUUCUGACCUAGGGGACCAAUGAGGAGAUCAGGAAGAAAAUAGAAGCGGAAUCAAUGCGAAGUUUUAAUUGCAUCACUGACGACUUAGCACGCGUUGUUAGGAGCAGGAUACAUUGGACCAGACAAAAUAGAGAACUUGACGUUACGUUAAGCUGCAGUCCCAUCUGCCCGAUAAAAAAAAAACUAAUCAAUUAUUUUGCUUUUCUUGUCUCGUUUCAGCAAACCAAAAUCUCUUUACUAUCUCUUCAUUUUCUGUCUCCAACUAUCCUCUAUGUAAUGUAUCUGAAACUUGUGGGACUGGUUAACAGCCGGCGCCUGCUUGUGGAAGAAACUGGUGUGCUAUACGGACUAGCACAUACGAACAGUUAGGCUUUGUAGGUCCUCAUCUUGACAGAGUCUAGAUGGGCGGAUGAACGUCUGCCAGGGUGUGGGCUGAGAAAUGACAAUGACAAUAUAUAUGGCUCAUCUUGCGCAUUUUUGCGCCGAAGUUGGUAUAUCUAUAUUUUUGAAAAUAUCCAUAUGUAGACGCCCUGUAGCCCAUAAAUCUCCUUACAAAUUAAUUGCCUAAACAACAUCAUAUUACUGAGAAAUUAGUGAUUUUUACUAGUUUUGUCAACCAUUUCUGCUAUCCGAUGAGAUUGGCUACUAUGAUUAAUGUUUAUAUUAACCCUUUAACAACCAACGCAUUCAAAUGGGUUUAAAUAAAAGUAGUUGAAAAAAUGAAAUAUGGAAUAUCAAAACUGAUAGCAGAAAUGGAUUCAGCGACCCAAAAUUAGUUAAAACCCUAAGUUUUAGCCACAUAGACCAAUUUUUAUAAUUUUGUCACAACUUUGUAUGAACAGGUGCCACUGUGUGUCGACUAGCGGCAAGUUGCUACUUGUUGAUGACAUUUCCAAACGGCAUUUUUAUUUCUUAUACACUUUGAAAACUUUACCUGUAUAUCAGUUUUCAGUGAUAUAACAGAGCUACAUGACAGUCAUUAAAAUGAUGUACGCUUUUCUUAAUAUAGGGUGGUUACACAUCCUGGUUUCCCAGGACAUGUACUGGUUUUCAACUAACUAGGCUUCCUUGUGUCCUGUGACUUCGUGCAAAGUGCUUAAUUUGUCCUGGUUUUUCUCCUCCAACCCAAAAAAUAUUUUUUUCGUUGAGUAUUUGGUUGAUUCAUUCUGGUCGCAUAAAAGGAAAUAAGUAUGACGUCAAUCAUUAUUGUUAAAUAACUUCAUUGAGCGCAGAUGCGAAAUUUUUCGAGCUGGUCUUUAUUAAACAUCUUCAGGCUCACUGCCAGCAAUACUUUGGUGAUGAUCAACACGGCUUCUGUGUCUACCAUCCUAUAAUAUCCUACACAAUAGAGAGUAUGGAAUGUCGCGAUUAUUUUGGUUUUAUUUAUACCAACCAAUCUACCGCUUUUGAUAAAUUAAAUUACGAUAUAAAAAUACAAGUAUUAAUGCUGAUUUCGUUUUUAGAUCAGAGUUGUUCUAGGUUCGCUCGGAGCUGUCACUUUUGUAUGGAAACUGUAAACAUUAGAGCGAACCUAGGGUGACUCGAUUCUAAAACUGAAAACAGCAUAAGAAUCAAUAAUAAUUGCUGUGGUUGCUUCGAUCCUUCCUCAUUGAUCGAGAGAUAGAGAUUGCCAGGUAGGGUGGGUGCUCCUAUAGUUGAGGUGUACCAAUAGUUGCAGUAGUGGGUUAUACGCCUAACUAAGGUACCAACCAUCAACAAAUAUUUUUUUAUCGAUUCAUCGCACUAAAAUUAUGCGACAAUAAAACUGUUAUCCUUGAAAUUUGCUGAAAUAACUAUUGAAAAAAAUGAUUUUUCUUAGAGUUUUGAGCUCCCUUGCACCUAUAGUUGAUAUAGUGUGCCUACACACUUCGAAAAACUCUUGUAAUUUUACGUCAUCUUACGCCGACAUAUGCCAGCGAACAAAAUGACCGAUUAUUAUGCUCAUUCUUAUUUUUACAAGACGCCAUUUUUUCAAAAACGUAAUUUUACAUUAUGCCAACGGUAAAAUUACGUGGGACAUGUAAAUUUACAAGAACGCUGAGAAAUUACAUUUGUCUAGUAAAAUUCAAGUAAGACGCAUCUUCAAUCCGAAAAUUAAAAUAUCCUUACUGCAGUUCGUCACGCAGCUUCUUACCAACAAAUAAUCGACCCAUUAUCUAUUUUCGUGAAAAAGGAAGAUACAAAUGAAAUUAAAUCAAUCAAAUUUUCACCAAAAUUCAGAAUAGUUCCACCAUUUACUGGGUCGAAACUUUGUGAAAUUAUGAGUCAAGCAGAUUUACCUUUCUUUCGAAAAUUAUAUACGUAUAGGCGUAUACAUGUAUUCUAAUUUAAAGAUCAUUUAUUUUUCAUUAUUUCUGCUAAUAUGCCGUUGCCGAAUAUGCUGCACAAACGAGUUGAAUGAUUUAAAAAUGACCUGACAGUGGUGGAAAGGGCAAUCGAACUUCUUUUCCCUUUUAUGUAACCGAACAUGUUUGAUAAAAAAACUCGACGUUUUCAGCGGAUAAUUCGCAGAACUAGCAAUAUAAUUGCAUUUUUAUCAUCGUACGAAAAAUCAUCUUGCACAGCCGAUGGACCUUGAAGAACUUUUGAGAUAAAUACGCGCUUCGCUUCGUUUGAUGCGUUUAUGAUGCGGGACGUGUAAUUUUCUGGCAUCUUACACUGAAAACAUAGUCAUUGAGUCCAAAUUUUAUUUCUUGCGCUUAAAAAUAGUGUGUGUGUGUUUAUAAUGACGGAAUAUUGAGUUUAUUAAAAGGAGUAUUAUGAGUGCGUCGAUUAUGACAUAAAAAUAGAUCACGUUUAAAGUUGCGUCAGAUUUCUCAAUUGAGUCAUCUUUAAUAUUCAGAUUUUUUUAGUGUGUAUAGUUGCAAGUCUCAUAAGAAAGCAAUGGGAUUUGCAACAAUAGGAACCGAAAUUAGCGAUUGCACCACUAUUGGUACAUGUGUUCCUAUAGUGGUACAAGCGGUUUUGAAUACAUAAAUUGGUUAUUAAACCAUGUUUAUAUGUUUCCUAUGAAGUAGGGACUGAAAGCUUUCGUUUAAUGUAUUAGCAUUGCCCAUAGGUCUAUUCAUCGAUUUUUUUAUCAAAAGUUUUCCUUAAGUAUGCGACUAUUGGUACAUCCACCUUACCUACAUUUAUUUCAAAGUUAACAAAUACCCCAAAGAUGGCACCUGGUACCGUUGAUGUUGCUGCUGUACUUCAAUGAUGUACAUGGAGUGCUAAAGACUUCACGACUGUCUUUCGCGGAUGGUCGCAAGAUAUUUCAACUGAUUCGUUGAAUUGAAGUUUAUAAACAUUAGUAUCCAAUUUUUGUUGAUUGGUAGAGAAAGAACCGCAUGUGUAAAUCAUAAAUCGGUCCUUACACGUUCAAUACUUUUGUCAAUACACAACUUUUUUCCAUUACACGUUCAAUAAUAUCGUCAAUACUCGCUAGUAUUGACAAAAAUAUUGUACGUGUAAGGGCUGCUCAAUUGCUCAGUAUUUUCCAUUCCUACACAAGAAUAACCCGAUUAGUUUUAACUACAGUCGUGAUUCGCUGGUUGGACCGCAGCCUCUGUCCAGUAAACGAAUUUGACUCGCUUCGCUAGUUGGACCCAAAGGUCUUACUAUAAAGGUACGCAAAGAGUGUGCAGAGAGUGAAGCCAAAAAGUCCACCUAUCGAGCUAAAUUAGAAUCCAGCUAUGCUACAGAGGCAGGCUUGUUAUUUGCUCACACAAUGUGCACAAAGAGCGAAAUGCACCGAUGGAAAAUAGAGCAGCACAAAAACACUGCGAUGUGCAGAAUGACCGCACAAAGAGAAACUUGAAAACGAAGAAGAGAAAGAUCUAUGCACCAAGAGCUGCACAAUUUCGCGCAAAGCGUCACCUUGAAGAGCCACUUUUUAUGCCUCCCCCCACUGGCAAGCAGGAGAGAAGGCGAAUCAAAUUACAAUUCAGAUAAAGAUUGAUCGAAAGAAAAUUUUCAAAAUGUUUUUUUGGUUGGCUUCUCUGCAUCCGUUAGCGUGGGACCAAGAUUCACACUAAAGAGCCUCUUUAUUUCUACUCUUUGAGGUGUGCAGCCAUGGAGUGAAAUUCACGUAUGGAAGCACCACACAUCGGAGUGAAGAGGUUUAUUGUGAAAGAGAAGAACGGUGGUUCGCUUGAAGAGUGCAAAGAGCGUUUUUUAUUCUCUUUAUUUGCUCUGAGGUGCAUUACAUCCUUGUACAGAGGUAUCAAAACGGAUUCCAAUCGCGGUAGACUUUUUUUUGUCUUCUCUCGUUGUGUAACUGUUCUCUAUAAACUGUGGCUCGACCGACUGACAAAUGUCAAAAACUCUCCAAAGGAGACGUAUAAUGAAGAUGCAUCUGUUUACAUCUUAAAUUAUUGUCAGAUCGCAAGUAAAAAUAAAUUUGAUAUGAGAUUUUGGCGUUCGAAUUGUUUUUAGUUGCGCUGAUCCAAUUAGCGGAAGCCCAACUAGAAAAAAUUUACUCAAUCUGACAAUAUUCUGAGAUGUGACUGCCCCAUUUAAAUUAGCCGGAAUGUCAUUGGCUGAUUUCUUUCAAAAACCGGCUCAAACGAUACUACCGAUCCCGACCUGGAAUCGGUUGUUUCAUUUGAGCCAGAAUUUUAUCGAAAUUUAAAGUUACAGAUCAAAUUCCGGAUGCAUAUUACGGGUAUUUUUUGUUGUUUAUUUGACUGGGACUUUUAUUAUUUUGAAGUAGAAUACUUCUAACGUUUCAAUAUGGGGGUCCCUUUUCAAAAAUUUCUGCUGAGAUAUUUUCCCAGUGUUCAAACGCGACUAACUUCCGUUGUACUGAUCGAAAUCGCUAUAUUUUUGCACUAUCUGAUCGGAAAUAUGUGCAUGUAUAUUGUAUUUGAUCCCGUAAAAUGUACGUUCAUUAUAGAUAGCGAAAAUAAUGUAUUUUGUAAUGGUGGUAAUUAUCUGCGCUGAUUGGUCCGUACAAUUCAACCAAGCAGCGAGCGUUGCUAGGACUGCCUCUUUUUUAUCCAAUGAACUUCGUCAGGUAUAAAAACGGCACAUAUGCGAAAAUUCAUCAGUUUGCUUUCUGACCUCGUAGCAGCUGCUACGUUUUGUGUCAGCUCAAACUCCGGUUGGAAUAUAUUCAAUGACUGUCACCAGCCAUCAUUCCAUCCAAUGAUGCACAAUCGUGACGUGCAUACAAUGAUCAGUACACAUCGCAGAAAAAGCAGAAUGCUCUUUUUUUGGAGUUCAAUACGCGGAUUGCAAGUGUGCGCGUGCGAAGGGGUGGUUGAGUGCGAAAGACCCCGCUACAUAAUGCAAGCGUAUGUAGAGGUAGAUGGGGUAAAAUACACCCCUGAGAAAAUAUAAUCAUAACUUAGCUAUAGACCAUCAAUUGGGAGAAUUUAAUUAAUGAUAUCAUUUAGCCAACAUUUUACUCUGAAAUCACAAUCGCUGUGUAAAAUAUUCAGGGACAUGAAAAAUAUUCAAUUUUUCAAAAUCAUUAUAAACUGCUCUUUGAAAAAUGGGCAGGGCAAAACGCACCUGUACAGGGGUAAAAUGCACUACAACAGCGGGGCACAAUACAUCAUAACAAAUAUCGAGAUAGCUGGCUUUUAAUGCAGAAGAUAGCAAAAAUUGCACAUUCGAAUUAACAGCCUAAGUGUAUUCUACUUCACUUCAGUUAUGUCUCUGACAUUACCUACCCAUUUUUUUAUCUUUACUAGGCCGAAUAUGAGAACUGCAAAAAUAUCGUCUAAGGCCACAUUAUGCAACCACUUCGAAACGCCUUUUUCAUACACAGUUAUAUAGGGGGACCGGGGCUAUUAAGACAGUGGUGGUAAUUCGGACCCCCCUGAUUUCUCAGAAAAUCGUAAAACUUUUUGACUGUCCUACAUAUUCGUGGAACCGCUAUUCUAAAACAAUAAUUUUAACAGCUGAACUUAAUUCUUUGGUUUUUUUAGAAAGGUGAUAUAAUGUGUUUCAUUUUUUUGCCAUCCUCAGAACAAAAAUCAUUAUAAUGUGAUUUAAGCAACAAAUAAAAGUGAAAAAAUAGCAGAUAAGUGUUUUGAAAGGUUUGAGGCUCUUAUUCUAUGGAAUGAUUUUUGUUUGAGUGAAAAGCCAGAUAUUUUCAAGACGCGCACCACUUUUGUGCGAAAUGAGCGUACGGGGUUAUUCGGACCCUCUAUUCCAUGAACCACUGUUCCGCGGUUUGCGGCAACGCCCACGAUUGCACACGCCGCAUCAAAUAAAAUACAUGAUGCGUCAAUCGACAGCUGUGACUAACCAGAUUAAGUUUUUGCAACGCAAUUUUUUUGCUUGUUAAGGAGUUUCUCUAAUGAAUAUUUCAUAGGUAAACAUAAUUCCA